AUCCAUAGACUGCUGGCUUUUCAAGUUACCAGUCCCUUUAAGGUUGUACAGAGGUUCACUACCCUCUUCAUGUUAUGGACACACCUACAGAGCAGUCACAGCUUUGAUACCCUAAUGGGUAGGAUGAAGCAGGGUGACGUGAAGGACGUUUGGGACUGAAUGGUGUGCAUGCUUCCCCAUGUCAGUACAUAAAACAGGACUGCAGCAUUCGGCGCAGUUUGGUUUCAUCUCACUGCAGCAGGAAACAACCUCUGAGAGAAAGAUCUCCAUCACACUGCUGGCAACACAGUGACAGCACCGGGGCACUCAAAAAACUGCAUGGAAAUGUAACACUGAAGAAAAACAUUCAUCACAGCGUACGUUUACGUCACACUAAAUGAAAAUUAAGAGAAAUCAAGCGCAGUAAAUAGUUUAAAACUAGUUAGAAGUUGCAGUAUAUUACUUUUAUUAAGCAUAAAAAUGCUGCUGAAGCC
ensembl:lncRNA